UCUAUAUCAUUUAUGAAUUCAAUGAACACACAUUAUUUAAACGUUCUAUGUGCAACUAUUUGUCGGGGCGCCCCUGUUUGUAACCCCCGCGCGCGCGCCGAAUGUAAACAGUAACGAACGGCAUUGUACAGCUGUUGUAGAAAAGAGAGAGCUGUAAUGCAGAAGAGAAGUUGUGUAUUCUUUCGGUGUACACAUGCAUUUUCAAUUUACUGUGAAACAUAUGAACAUGCACAGGGAACAAUACUACAUAUUUGUUUAAGGAGGAUAUUUUUCUCGUGUGAAUCGUUUACGAGGAAAUUCUGACAGCCACACUUCUGUCGACGAUCAGCCGUUGAUAAGCUACGAGUAAUAAAGGAGAAAAGAUGGACAUUAAAGUGUGUGAUUUAUGUGGAUGUUACUGAAGAAGCUCAAAACAGACUCUUGUUACCACAUGGCUUUUACCGGUACCUGUUGAUUCUUGUGGGUCAGCUCCUGAGAUUAACCUGUCACCUCUAUCCACAUGCAUAUUCCUUGUGUUCUACAGACUAUUUACCGGUAAUUCAAAUUAAAUCCGAUAAUGCAUGAACAAUAAUGGAACUUGAAGAAAGCAUCAUGCCAUGUUGUGGUUUGUGUUUGAUAAGAAAUUAUGAAAACAAAAUUAAGGCUGUUUAAAGAAAUUCAUAAUUGCUGUGAAAAUUUGUUUUUCAAUAAAAGUAUACAAUUAU